rnacentral:lncRNA from 1 species
ACAUUUUAAGGAUAAGAGGUUUACCAGCUUUCCUUCUACUCUGUGCUGCGACUAACACAUUUUGUUUAAAACAGAUUUUAAACACAGAGUAGCAAUAUCAGUUUCUACUAUUCUAAGAAGAAAGAGUUCCAGACAUUCAAGAAGAACCAUAUCUGCUACUAAAAUUCAUCCUUAUCCUGUGAAAACUAGCAAACAACAGAUUCCACUUACUGGACAGACCACAAAGAUACUGCCUGUAAUUCCUGAACAAGAGCAUUGUCAUGCGGAUCAACUCUAGAUUUAGAAGGCCUUGUGCUCCAGUAAUUGUUUCAGGAAGUCCACAUGUAAGGAAAUAAGUCUGGAAAGAAAUGUGCACUAAGAGGUAUCUCUUCCUGAAAGUACUUGUAAUGUCUAGAAACAGAACAGAUGCUACUUGAAUAAGUAAUAUAGACAAGGUUAUGCUGCUUGAACAGAUGAUAUUACUGUGUGUGGUAAUUUUUUAGGUUCAAAGCUUAAGGAGGCUCCUUCUUUACCUUUAUUUAAAUUGGAUGGAGUUUUAUAUUGAAAACUCAAUAUUAUGUCAUGCUAUCUUUUUAUUGUGUUAAAAAUAAUUGAUGUACUAAAGAGCAGUUUGACUUUUUUGCUUCAUGUGGAACCAUGAAGAUGAAAUUGUACGUUGAGAGCAGAGCUAAAGAAUAAAUUUUUCAACGGCGUUGCUGACA